GGGGGAGGGGAGAAUACGGAAAAUCUGGACGAUCUCGGCGAACUUGGAGGGGUGUCCCCAGCCUCUUGCGAAAGGGGAACUUGCAGGCUGCUCACUGCACCCCGGUUGCCGGAGAAAGGAGUGUCACUAGGUCAGGCCGCGACUGCUAAUGGCGCUGGGAAAAGUCAUUCGUUAUCAUCUGCCGGGCCGGGAAAAUCUGAGAUGAAAGACUGCUAGCUCGGGGUUGCUCAGUCACCUGCAGCUGGCUUCCAGGGUCCCAGAAUAGUGGGUGGUGAUUUGCUUGAUAAUAAUCAGAUGGGAGCGGGUAAUAAUCAGAUGAUAAUCAGAUGGGAGCGGAAUCUAAGAGCGUUGAUAUCUGAGAAUCAACUCAGCUCGGCGUCAGACUUUAAAGGGUGCCGGUAACCACAUGUUAGUGUGUCAAGGGCAGAAAGCAAGCCCACUAGGGUCACUGGGACAGAGCAGGAAAGAGAAGGAGAUUGUGCAGGAAGGUAGAGACGACCCGGCCGUGGGAGGGUGCGGGAGGCACCGGGAAGACUUUUCUCCUGAUCUUGACUCUUACAACUCCGGGGGUUUCUCUCCUUGACCCACCCCCAGCCCCUCCGGCCGGGAAAAGCUCCCUCCCGGUGGCCCUCUAGUGAACUCAGGAUCUUUACUUCUGGAGGCACUUCUCUUCAAAGGUUUCGCUAUCCAGUAGUCUGCGACCCCACGGAGCAGCAUCCCUCUCAGCUCUGACACCUGCUAGUCCAUCAUCACCCGUCUGAACCUAGUAGAGUUAGCGAGAGAGGGUGCGGGGGGAAGCUGCAAAUCGGGCCUCUUCCUGGCCUACUUGGCAAAGCCACGUGCUAGGGAAGUGGUCUCCUUAGUCAGGACGCUCUAGCAGCCAGCUCCCCGUCCUGCUCCCCCAGCAUUACCGCUGCCCUGAGCAUGCACACACGCGCUUAAACUCGAGCACCCCCAAGGGCUCACCCAAGCACCUACACGUGCACUCCCGCCCAGCCAGAACCCCCAUAGCCGCCCGUUUCGGCCAAGAACCGGAGGGGCGGAGUGAUAGAGGUGAAAAGCGCUUGCAUUUCCUCUUUGCUCUCUUUCGCUUCCCCUCUACGCCCCCGGGGCUCGGUUCCAAUCCCUGGUUUUUUGAAAUCCGCGCAACCUUUCCAGUCGCUUUGUUGCAAAGGAGCGCGGCUCCGCGGUGGCAGUUCCUGCCGUGCCUCCUCCCUCCUGACGGGUGUCAGGGCUUUUGCAGGGAGCUCCUCUGGACCCAGACGGCGCUGGAAGACGCGAGUUCCCGAGCUGGAGGGUCAAGCUCACACAGUGACACGGUGCAGGGCACCUCACACCAACCAGCGGGACACCGCAGACAAAUACAUCAGCAGACAGCACAGCAUCCUGGAAAGUCUCCGCUCAAAUCAUCAGCGCUUUCCCGGUGGCUUUCUGUCCCUCGAAAUGAAAUAAUGAGAUUUCCAAGAAGGGCACGGCAGGAACCUCCGGCGGCGGUGGAGCGUCCAGGGACUGCCAGAACCAGGAGAAAAAGUGCUUCCAUCCUCCAUUCACUUUAAACUUAGCCGCUUCUGGGACUUCACUGGAGGGCGGCGGAGUUGCACCAGCGCGGACCUGCAGAGGCGAGCGAGCACUUCCAAAUAUUUUAGGAUGUGGGAGGUGACAACUUUUCCUCCUGGAUUGUCCCAUCGCCAGCCUUCCCUGAUGAGCUGAUAGGAAUCGCUGAAGUCCAGGAAAUACAAGGUUUGCAGUUCCCUCUAGGGACCAAGUAUAGAGAGAUGUUGAAUGAGAAAUCCAAAGACCUUGCAUCGCUGAACUAAAUAACUUUUUUCUCCCUACUGCCUGGACCAACGUGAGGCGGAGGCACACUUAGCCAACUGUAAGAAGUUAGAGAUGGGAACAGAACCAUAUUCAAAUAUCUUCUUGGGCGCUUAAUUGAAGCAACAAGAGGAGGAGGGUGACGCAUAAGGAGCAAAGGGCAGGGGGCCCAGUGGACUGUUGUCAAACAUUAGGUAUUUUGUGCAGGACUGGUGGUGAAGCAGUGUGGAAGACUGGAAGAUUAAAGGAUGGCUGAUGGUCCAUGAGAAAGAAACCAUUCAAAAGUAAAGUUACAGUAGUUUAGAUGAGAAACAGGAGGCUAUGGCUAUGGGGACUAAUUUCAUCACUAUAAAGAAAUAGAACAGAUUGUCUUCCAGGUAUCUCUAUCAGAAUUUAAGGAUCUACACAAGAAUAUUUCCAGUAAUUCAAAAAACCAAACUACAACAGAAUUUUAGAAUUAAGAGAAAACAAGGCAGCUAUCUGUCUUUUUCACUAAGGCAACAGUUUCUAUUUUGUAAGAUAAAUAUGUAAAUAUUGAGUCAAAUUAAUUUGCAGAGAAAGCCCUGUAUAUUGUUUAUUAAUUGAUCAAAAUAUAAAAAUAUUUUCAAGAGUUUAUGAAUAAAAUAUCACUUUAUGCAUGUAAGCAGAUAAAUAAAAAUUCAAUUUUCCCAGCAUAUGUUAAAAAGCAUAGGAUGUCCACAAUAUUUAUUCAUCUAUACAAGAUGAAUUUUAAAUAUGUUAGUCACUGAAAUAUUUUCAGUGUUCUUUAAGGAUUUUUAUGUUCUCAGAAGAUUAUGUAGAAAUAAUAGUAAUAGAAAAUCUGAAAUAUAUGUGCUGAUUUUAGGAGUGUAACUAAAUAUGUAAAUAGGUAAUCCAAGUUUAUUUGUUGGAUACCUUUGGAAAAAUUGUAUCGGUAAUAAAGUUUUCUCCACACGAGUUAGGAAAGAAAGCAAUAACAAUAAAAUACAGACAUUGUUAAUAAUAUUUAUCAAAAAUAGAAUUCCAGCUUUAUUCUUUAGUCUGUAAGAUGGGGGAGCUAUUGCAUUGUAAAAUCCACUGGCCAGUUCUAUUUUAAGCAUUUUCCUUUGAUUAAAUCAUUUGUAGUAAAUGAUGACCCAAGCUAAGGUAAAGUGACACUUUAAUGGGGGUUAUGGCCUAAUGACAGGGUGUCUUUAAGGGGGUUUCAAUUACUAGAACUAUAAAAUAUUAGUUUGCUAUUAAUAUAUUUAAAGUGAGAUAUUAAUUCUCUCUACAACAUCAAUAUUUAUUAGUGUUUCAAUUUUGGAUUAACACUUAUUUGGCUUUACAUGAAAAUUUGUCUUUCUGUACAACAUGAAAAGACCUUUCCUUAAAUAAAUGCUCUUAUAUUAUUUAGCUAUGCUUUCCCUUAAAAAUCUUGAUAGCUUCAGGAAAUCUCUUAAUCCCAUAAAGAGCAAGAGGGAAGAAGAUAGAAGAUGAAUGCUUUACAAACUUAACCUUGAGUGAAUCCAAGUCAGAAGAAAAAAAGUAGAAUGUCUUAAAAUUUUAAUCCUACAAUAUGAAUAUUGAGAAGGACAAUAUUAACACUACAUAAAUUAUAACCCAAAAUCUUUCUAAACUAGGUUGGCAACCUGGUCAUGAGUACCCAAUAAUCUCUUACAUUUAGAGUUAUGGUUACAGAAAGAUUCUUAGUGGUAUUCUAAGGCUCAUAUUAUAUAUGUGGGAAAACUGAGAUGAAGGAAGGCUGUGCAGUGUGCAGUUAAUUGCUUGCUGCCUUCUCUUGGUAUUAAUGGAAAUCCUUUGAAGUAAGAAAAUUGUAUAUUUCCAGCCCUAUUCUGUAGGUUAAAAAAUUGAGAUGCAGAUGUGUUAUUUCCAUUAAAUCAUCUAGUUAAUUGUCAGAAAUCAGAGUAUUCUAUGAUUGUCAAAUUUUUUUAACUUUUCAAAAAUAUAGGGGAAAUAUUAAAUAAUACCUAUAUAUGAAACUUAAGAUUCUUGAAGAUAAUAUGUAUCAAAGUAACCUAUAGUUAUGAAAUACAAUAAAAAAUAUUGAUUCUUGUGUCUCAUUUCCUUUGGAGGUGGCUUAACGGGUGGAUCUCUUUAUAUAUAAUUUAUUUAUGUUGUAAAAUAUUUCAGCCGCGACCUUGAAUAUACCGGGACAAAAAAAGGUCUUUGAUGUUCUGAAAUGCCUGGUGAAUAUUUAUGUGGAAUAGUACAUGUAAAAGAAGAGAAUGCCCUAUUCAUUUCAUAAUCAAAGUUUUGAAUUUAAAAUUAAAGUCAUCCAACUGUUUGAAAAGAAAGAAAUGCUUCCUCACUAUUAACCAUGAUUUUAAAACCUCAUUAUCAAUUAAUGCAAAGUAACACUCUGGAUAUAAUUUUAGUAAUAGAAAAUCUGAAAUAUAACAUGAAAUAUAGCCUGUGCUGAUUUUAGGAGUGCAACUAAAUAAAUAAAUAGGUAAUUCAAGCUUAUUGGAUCACCAUCUUUGUGUAGUCAUGCAUCUGAGAAGCAAGCUAUCAAUAUCGUCUCUCUGAGAUGAGAGGACAAGCAUGGCUUUUCCAUUAGUCAUAUAUUAAAACAGCCUUAUAGUAAUGCCCUAGAUCAUUUGACCCAUCAAUAAAGUAUUAGAAUUAUAUAGAAACUUGGAAUGUUUUUAUUAACAGCUAUUAUUUCAGAAAUUUACUGGGCAAUGUGACUCAUAUAAACAGUGUAGUACAGUGACGAGAAAGUGAAUUGGCAUUUGAAGACAUUGAGAUCAUGCCAAACCUGCUGCUAAUAGGCUUUGUGGCUUUUGUGAGGUCAUAUGAUAUCCCUGAACUCCAGUUUCUUCAUCAUAAUGAUGAGAAAUACAUUAUUGAGCAAAUGAAUAUAAUAAAGGUUCCAGCAGAACUUCCAGCCCAGGUGCAACGAACAUUUCAAUGCAGGCAUAAUUAACAAGUUUGCUGACUUACAGCUCCUUCCCUUUCAAGAUUCAUGGCCAGAGCAUCAGCACUCUUAUCUACAAGGUUGGGCAGCCAACCAGCUGGUCUAUCUCUCCAAGGCCAUCCCCAAAUGCCUACAUCUUCCCCUCCCUUGUCUUGCCCCCUUUGUCUAGGGACUUCGCAGCAAAUUGUUGUUCCUGCUGAAAAACAAUGCUAUCAAUGGAACAGAUAUGGAGACCAUUGUGUAUAAAAGGAACCCCCGGUCUUUAAACUGGUGCUCAGACCUUACAGGGCUACCCAGGUCUGGGACCUCAGGCAUAAGUAAUAAAGCUUCUCCUGACCUCACGAUUCCUGAAGUACCACUUGUUUUUCCUCUGCCUGGGUAAAAGGCUAGAAUUUAUUUCUACAACAAUACUAUGAGACCCAUGAGCCAGACGAUUUCUAAAAUAUCAUAUAGCAUGAAAACAUGGGCUAUUCCAACUUAAAUGAACUGGAAUUAAAUUCACCACUAAGAA